UGCUUUUUAUACGACCGCAAAAAAAUUUUUGUGGUCGUAUAUUGGUAUGACGUUGGCGUCGUCGUCGUCGUCGUCCGGCGUCGUCGUCCGAAUACACAUUAGUUUUCGCACUCUAACUUUAGUUUAAGUGAAUGGAUCUCAAUGAAAUUUUACCAUAAGGAUCAAUACGACAAAAGGAAGGUGGGGAUUGAUUUUGGGGGUUAUGGUACUAACAGUUAAGGAAUUAGGGGCCAAAAAGGGGCCAAAAAUAAGCAUUGUUGUAACUUCCAGACAUAACUUGUGUGUAAGUAUAUGGAUCUCUCUGACAUUGUACCACAAGGUUCCAUAUCACAAAGGGAAUGCUGGGAUUGAUUUUGGGGGUAAUUGCCUCCAAAUUUUAGGAAUUAGGGGCCAAAAAGGGGCAAAAAACAAGCAUUUUUCUAGUUUCAUGACAAUAACUUGUGUGUAAGUGUAUGGAUCUCUCUGACAUUGUAUCACAAGGUUCCAUAUCACAAAGGGAAUACUGGGAUUGAUUUUUGGGGGUAAUUUCCUCCAAAUUUUGGGAAUUAGGGGCCAAAAAGGGGCAAAAAACAAGCAUUUUUCUAGUUUCAGGACAAUAACUUGUUUGUAAGUGUAUGGAUCUUUAUGAAAUUUUACUGCAAGGUUCCAUAUCACAAAGGGAAAGCUGGAAUUGAGUUUGGGGGUAUUUGCCGAAAACGUUUAGGAAUAAGGGGCCAAAAAUAAGCAUUUUUGGAAAAUGACGCUAUCAGCGGCAUGUUUCCGAUACCAUUGACCAGAACUAACGGAAGUUGAUUAUGCCUCCGCCUACCGCACUCGGUUUCAUAUUUACUAUUUAACAUUCUGACUGGAAUCUGAUUGUAUUUCGCUACACUCGAACAAAGUGUUGUAGUCGGACGGGAACCAGUUUACAUACGUUAUUUUAUUUACCAAAAAGAUAUCUUGAACUGUCCAUAUGUUUUUUGUUAUUAAAUGGUAUUUGGAGCUA